UACGGAGGGGGCUAGCGUUGUUCGGAAUUACUGGGCGUAAAGCGCAUGUAGGCGGACCGGAAAGUCAGAGGUGAAAUCCCAGGGCUCAACCUUGGAACGGCCUUUGAAACUCCUGGUCUUGAGUUCGAGAGAGGUGAGUGGAAUUCCGAGUGUAGAGGUGAAAUUCGUAGAUAUUCGGAGGAACACCAAUGGCGAAGGCGGCUCACUGGCUCGAUACUGACGCUGAGGUGCGAAAGCGUGGGGAGCAAACAGG
rnacentral:rRNA from 1 species